rnacentral:rRNA from 1 species
AGCAUAUCAAUAAGCGGAGGAAAAGAAACCAACAGGGAUUACCUCAGUAACGGCGAGUGAAGCGGUAACAGCUCAAAUUUGAAAUCUGGUCCUUUCAGGGCCCGAGUUGUAAUUUGUAGAAGAUGCUUUGGGUGUGGCCCCGGUCUAAGUUCCUUGGAACAGGACGUCAUAGAGGGUGAGAAUCCCGUAUGUGACUGGGUGCUUUCGCCUGUGUAAAGCUCUUUCAACGAGUCGAGUUGUUUGGGAAUGCAGCUCAAAAUGGGUGGUAAAUUUCAUCUAAAGCUAAAUAUUGGCCAGAGACCGAUAGCGCACAAGUAGAGUGAUCGAAAGAUGAAAAGCACUUUGGAAAGAGAGUUAAACAGUACGUGAAAUUGUUGAAAGGGAAGCGCUUGCAACCAGACUCGCAGGCCGUCGAUCAUCCUGGGUUCUCCCUGGUGCACUCGGCGGCCUUCGGGCCAGCAUCGGUUUUGGUGGUGGGAUAAAGGCCUUAAGAAUGUAGCUCCUCUCGGGGAGUGUUAUAGCUUUCGGUGCAAUGCCGCCUACCGGGACCGAGGACCGCGCUUCGGCUAGGAUGCUGGCGUAAUGGUUGUAAGCGACCCGUCUUGAAACACGGACCAAGGAGUCUAACAUCUAUGCGAGUAUUUGGGUGUCAAACCCAUAUGCGUAAUGAAAGUGAACGGAGGUGAGAACCCUUAAGGGUGCAUCAUCGACCGAUCCUGAUGUCUUCGGAUGGAUUUGAGUAAGAGCAUAGCUGUUGGGACCCGAAAGAUGGUGAACUAUGCCUAAAUAGGGUGAAGCCAGAGGAAACUCUGGUGGAGGCUCGCAGCGGUUCUGACGUGCAAAUCGAUCGUCAAAUUUGGGUAUAGGGGCGAAAGACUAAUCGAACCAUCUAGUAGCUG